rnacentral:lncRNA from 1 species
AAUUCUGUCAAUUUCCUUCAACUUAAAACUUGGUUUUAUCAACCAAAGGAGUAUUAAGAGACAUUAUGGAUUUUUAGUCAGUAGCUAAUGAAAAACUGUCAUUUUUCCAGCAUAAGAGAUUUGUUGUUGUAAAUUCUUUAUUCUGGGUGUCCACUAUUUCAUCCUUGCUAUGGUUCUUUCAUGUCUAUUGAAAUUUUAUAGAGAUUCUCCUUUUGUUGCAUGAGUCUAGAUUCAGUAAAUUUCAAUUACAACCCUAUAUUUCUUACAAGCCUUUGUCUAAAAUCUUAUUUGAAUAGAGGAUUUAACAUCAUUUAUUAUGUGCAUUAAUUAAAACUUUAUUUGUCUGUUGCCAAUGUGCUUGGCAAACAUAUUUGUUGGAAGACUUUGAUAUGAUGCUAGCAAUCUUCCACAUUUAGCAGCAAAUGUCAUAUGACAGCAUUGCAUUUCGUUUAGAAAGAAGGAAUAUGCUAGAAAUCAUUAACCAUCUAACAGAAGUUAUCAUACUCUAAUUAUGCUACAGUAUGCUUUCUAGUUUUUUGAAACACGCCAGACUUAGAAAAUGCAUCUUGCUUGGAAGUGAAGAAAGUUUUUCUGUUGUUGUGUUAUCAUCGUCUUUACAUUGUAUAACUGUGUUGAAUUGUUUUUUUCUAUGAUGUCAAUUGAGUUGAAUGGCAUACUUUUCAUAUUCUUGAGGGUGUGAAAUUGGGACCUAAGAGCUCUGGUUGUCUCACAUUGAAGGAACUUCAUAACCAAUUUGUUGAAACCACAGAAUUUUAGAAAGUAUAGUAUGUGGGUUAAGCUAUUACAUAAGAGUUAUGAUAUGAGGAAAAAAGAAAACAUUCUCAAAUGACAAAAUAUUGAUGCAAAUGGACUCUAAAACAUUCAUAAAGAAAGAUCGAUAGUGGAUGCCGGUGGCCUCGACGAAAGAGGAAUUGGCAGAGUGGAUAUAGGUCACAACGACUGAACCACUAUAAAUCGGUUUACAUUCUUGUUCUGCUUUUAAUUCUCGCAUUGCAAACUGAUUUACUUACUUCACUUGCUCAUUAUAUUCUUGCAAAUGUUUUAAAGUUAAACACUUUCCGAGAUCGGUUUUCAACGUAAAUAGUUUUAUCGAAACGAAAGAUUUUUUGAAGACGAUUUUACCGCUGCACUAAUUCACCCCCCCUCUUAGUGCCGACCCCAUUCCUAACAAUUUGUAUCAGAGCCUCGUGAUUUCUCAUUUGGUUUAACACCCAAGAGAAAUGACUCUUUUCGGCUUUCAAGAGGGACUUUCUCUCAUUCGUCCUCCCUUUUUCAAUGGGACGGACUACACUUAUUGGAAAACUCGAAUGAGAGUUUUCUUGCUUUCGAUUGAUUUAAAUUUAUAGAAUAUGGUCGAAAACAGAUUUCAAAGGUCUUCUCUUCCAAUGAACAAUUGGAAUGAUUUGGAGAAGAAGACGUUUUCACUAAAUGCUAGAGCUAUGAAUGCUCUAUUUUGUGCCUUAGACAAAAACGAAUUCAAUCUGGUUUCUUUGUGUGAAACGACUUUCGAUAUUUGGCAAAUUCUUAAAACCACACAUGAAGGCACUAGUAGAUUAAAAGUUUCGAAGAUUACUCUUUUAAUAUAUGAUUUCGAAUUGUUUCAUAUAAAACCAAGUGAAACCGUUGUUGACAUGUACACCCGUUUUACGGAUAUCGUCACUGGUUUAAAAGCACUUGGUAGAAGUUUUUCAGAUUUUGAACUUGUAAACAAGAUUUUACGAUCACUUUCUAAAACUUGGGACUCUAAAGUAACGGCCAUACAAGAGGCUAAAAACCUAAACAACCUUAUACUCGAAGAACUAAUUGGGUCUUUAAUGACCUACGAAAUGAACAAUGUGGUAAAAAGGGAACUCGAGAACAACCUUCCAAAGAAUAGGAAGAAUUUCGGACUUAGAACAAUUGAAGACCACUCGAGCAUAUGUUCGAUGGGGAACUUGAACUCCUUGCUAAGAAAUUUAAAAAGUACAUGAAAUAAAAAUUAAAGAACAAAAAGAAUACAACUACUUGCUAUGAACGCAAGAAAAAGAAGGUGACUUUGGAUGAAUCAAGCUCCUCCGAAGACGAGGAGAAAAUCAACAAAGGCAAGAUGACAAACUACGCCUUAACGGCUUUCGAUGAUGAGGUAAUCAAAAUGCCCUUAAUUUAUUUUAAAAUUACAUAAUAUUUUUCAUGAGUUAUUUAUAAUUUAGUUUAGAAUUAAUAUUCUUAAAAAUUAUAUGCUUAAUAAUGAAAAUACAAAAAAUUAGGAAUCAUGCUUAUCAUUCUAGUAAUUUUGAAAAUAAUCAUGAAAAUAACAUGUUUAUGAUAAACAAAAUAAGUUUGAUUAAAAAUGCCUUAUGAAAUCAUGUUUGAUGAUAUCAUACCUAAUAAAUUUAUUUUUCAAAAUUAUGCAUGAUAAUUUGAAGUAAUGAUGAGUUUUGGGUAAUUAAUGGUUUAUUGAUCUUAAUGAUUUCCAUGAUGAUAUUUGCUCUUUCGAUUUUAAACUAUGAUGUAUGGUUUUCAUAUGAAAAAACCUUUAACAUACUUAUAUGAAAUCAAUCACUUAAAAUGUAACACAUAAAAAGAAAAAUAUAUUAUUGGAUUUAAAAUCAUGAAUCUAUUUAUGUUAUGAAUUUUGUGAACCAUGAAAUUGAUUUUGAUGGUUUGAAUUUAAUGGGUUUUAUCGAAAUCACGAUCUUGAUUUCUCGAGAUUUAUAACUUGAAAUCUUUAAUGAAUUAAGAUUUCUUACUCUUUAUUCUCUUGGAUUUUGAGAAAAUUUUCAAUAUGAAUCAUAAGAGUUCUUAUGCAUGAAUUGAAAUCUUUUUCUCCUAUGUUUUCUUUUACGAUUUACUAAAGAGAAUAUCUUUUUCAAAAUUCAUGACUUCAAAUUUCAUUUGAAUAUCUUUUAUUAUUUGAUCUCCUAAGAUCUGUUUUUGAAUAUUUAAAGAGGAGAAUUUUCUAAAUGAAUCAUGAUUUUUCAGAAUUAUAAUUUUAUGAUUCAUAAUGAAUUAAGAGAUUUUAUAUGCAUGAAUUAAUAUCUUGUUCUCCUACAAGAUUGAAUGAAUUUUAUCUAUAUCACGAUCUCCUAAGAAUUCUUUUUGUUAUUUAUUUAAGAGGAGAUUUGUUAAAAUGAAUCAUGGUUUCUCUUGAUUUCUCGGAAUUAUAACUUGAAUUUUUUUUUUAUAAAUCAAGAUUGUCUACUAUGAUUCUUUCUUUUCACUAUUUGUGCUAUCCAAAAAGAAUCAUAAUAUAUCUCUUGAUAUUCACAAUUUGUCUUCAUGAUUUGUGUAUCUCAUCAUCAAAAUUCUCUUGAUAUUUUUCAUGUGAUGAUAUGAAAUUAAACAUGAAAUACUCAUGAAUUUAUACAAACAAAUGAGAAGUUAUGAUCAUGCAUGAUAGGAUGUAAUAUAAUUUGAUAUUUAGAUACCAUCAUGAUUUGAAAUGCUAUGAUUUGUUGCCAAAAUGAUGUAUCAUGAAUGCGUGAAUAUCAUGUAUGAUAUGCCCAUGGUGAUUGAUUUAUUUAUGUCAUACAUGAAGUAAGGAUACCAUAUGCAAAGUUUUGAAAUUGUGCAUGUUGUAAAUUGAAACCAUAAUGAUGCACAAACAUAUUGAAAUAAUGAUUGAAACAUUAAUGUAAUUAUGAGUGAUGAUUUUAUAUUAUGCAUGUAAUACUUCAACUUAUGAUAAUGAUGCAUGCAAUGAUAAAAUAUUCAUGAUGAAAAAUUAUUUUGAUAUUCAUAACUUGAUUAUUCAUCCUUUGUCAUGAUUUGAAAAUUAUUGUAAAGGGAAAAAGAACUACAAAACUGUAUUCUUCCCUUCUUUUUGACAAUGACAAAGGGAGAGAAAUAUUGCUAGCUCAAGAUGCAAAAUUUGGAAACUUGCACAUUGCAAAAGAAGAAAACUUGCUAGCUUGCUCAUAUCAAAAGAGAAGUAAGAAGUGCUAUCUUGCAAAUCUCAAGAUGCACAAAUGCAAACUUGCAAAAUUUGUAAUUUUGCACAUUAUUAAAAUUUAUGAUGAUUUGGUGAUUAUGCAUGUUCUAAAAUGUUGUAAGAUUCACUAGCUUGCAUGAUGUAGAACUUUCUAUCUUGAACAUCACCAAGGAGUGCUAUCUUGUCUAUCUCAAGAAGCAAAAAAAAAGUUAACUUGCACAUUUAGCAAAACUUAUAUUUCAAGAAGUAAGAGUUGCUUUCUUGAACAUCUCAAAAUUGUUAGCUUGCAUGUUUUAAAAUGUUAUAAAAUUUUUGCUAGCUUGUAUGUUGUAAACUUGCUAUCUUAUUACCCNNNNNNNNNNNNNNNNNNNNCAAGAAGCAAAAAAAAAGUUAACUUGCACAUUUAGCAAAACUUAUAUUUCAAGAAGUAAGAGUUGCUUUCUUGAACAUCUCAAAAUUGUUAGCUUGCAUGUUUUAAAAUGUUAUAAAAUUUUUGCUAGCUUGUAUGUUGUAAACUUGCUAUCUUAUUACCCAGUAUAUCUAAAACUUGAUAGCUUGCAUGAUGUAACACUUGCUAAAUUUUCUAGUUUACAAAUUGCAUGAUGAUAAAACUUGAUAUUAUGUUUUUCAUGCAAUGAUUUGAACUUAUAUCUCAAACAUUUGAUAGUUGGAACUUGUCUUUUUUGUUGAUGACAAAGGGGGGGAAGUAUAAUCAUGUUAUGCAUGAUGACAUGUUACAAAUAUUCAUUAUGAAAUUUGCAACGACUUAAAUUCAGCUUGAAUUCAAGGUUCUAUCAAUACGACAUAUUGAUAGGGGGAGUUUGUUUAAACUCCGGGAGUUUAGUUAACUUUGUCAUUAAUUGGUUGUCAUCAUCAAAAAGGGGGAGAUUGUUGAAUCUCAGAUUUUGAUGAUGAAACCAAUUGAUGAGUGUUUAUUAUUUAAUCUGUAUUUUGAGUGACGUAGGAUGCUUCGAUCAAGAUGAGACAAUUAAAGCAUAAAGAAUCAUGUUGGGCUAGCGGAAAACAUGUCAGAUGAUUGAACGUCGGGUCGGAGGAUCGGUCGACAUAUCGACAGAAGGCUUCAAGCCAUGGAUUCGGGCAUCAGGCCAAGAAGAGCGGAUAUUGCACUAAGGAUAUCGGAGUUGAGGAGUCAACUGGCCGAUUGGGUAAUAGGCCGCAAGAGAGGAUGAUAUGCCGAAGAAUCGAACGAAGCGUCGAGGGACUAAUAACAUGCCGGACAAUAUGAUUAAUGCUUAGUAUUAAUUGUCUAGAUUGAAGUGUGUUUUACAUGUGCAGGAUUAACUACGAUAGCGAGGCAUGAAGCAAAAUGAAGUCCCAGAGUUAAGGAUGCAAUUUCGUUGGGAGUUUUGUUGGAACCAACCGAGAAGUCUCAGAGCUUGCCAGAGAAGCUCUUCGGAUCUCACCAAGAAGAUUGUUGUGAAGUCCAGGAGCUUGUUGGGAGUUCGUUAGAACAUUGCCGAGAGAUCGUCGGAAGUUCACUGGAAGAUCGCCGGAAGCUCACCGAAAGAAACCAAGACUUAUGGACUUGUUUAGCUUAAGUAUGUCUUAGAUUUCGUAGUUAGCACGUAAUUAGGUUUGGAAUUGGGCCAACCUAAUUAUGGGCCAGUUGGUCUUAUGUAAGAACUGUGUUAGGCCUAAUGAAAAGGCUCAAACAGUGCCCCAAGAGGUGACACCGUCAUGGCACAGUCUCCGAGACUGUGUCAGGCGGUGGUACUGCCCAGACACAGCCUCCGAGAGGCUGUAGGCGGUGGUACCGCCCGGACCCAGGAAACCUAGGAUGAGAUGUUUUUAGGCUCUAAGUUUGAAUCAACUUGAGGCCUAUAAAUACCCUUCUCAUCCUUGGUUAAUUUACAUAAGCACAGAGAGUUUAAAAGUGAAGAAACGCUGCUGCAAUCUCUUUAGAAAUUCUCUCCUCUACUCUAAGUUUAGAAUUCUAUAAGAGAGGAGUGAGUGCUUGUAAGGGUUAUCUCCUAAACCCAUGAAAAGGAGAAGAGGGGUGUAAGAAGGAGGUUGAUCUUUGCCUAUUAAAGGAAGAUCGAUAGUGGAUGCCGGUGGCCUCGACGGAAGAGGAAUUGGCAGAGUGGAUGUAGAUCACGACGACUGAACCGCUAUAAAUCGAUUUACAUUCUUGUUCUGCUUUUAAUUCUCGCAUUGCAAACUGAUUUACUUACUUCACUUGCUCAUUACAUUCUUGCAAACAUUUUAAAGUUAAACACUUUCCGAGAUCGAUAUUUAACGUAAACAGUUUUAUCGAAACGAAAGGUUUUUUGAAGAUGAUUUUACCGUUGCACUAAUUCACCCACCUCUUAGUGCCGACCCCGUUCCUAAUACUAUAUUCCCCUUAACAAAAUAGUAUAGAGGAGAAGAAGAAUCGAAUCAUUCUUAAUAUUGUUAGAAGCAUACUACAAAGCAAAAAUAUACUAAAGGAGUUUUGGGGUGAAGUUGUUGCAUGUGUGGUCUACCUACUCAAUAGAUGUUCAAUAGUAGCUUGGAAGACAUAACGCCACAACAAACUUGGAGUGGUACGAAGCAUAACAUCUCUCACUUAAGGAUUUUUUUGAUACAUUGCUUAUGCUCAUGUUUCAUAUUAAAGAAGAACAAAAUUGGAUGACAAAAGCUCCAAAUAUAUUUUCAUUAGCUAUAGUACCCCAUCUAAAGCCUACAAGUUAUUUGAUCUAGAAAAACACAAAGUGCAUGUGAGUAGAGAUGUAAAGUUCAUGAAGAUGAAAGCACAAAUAUGGAGGAAGUGCAAGAUGAAGACAAAGACAAAGUGAUAAAUAAAGAGAUUACACCUCCAUUGUCUCCUAUAUCAAGUAUUGGGAAAUCUGGGGUGAUAUGACAUGCGUAGCGGAAGAACAAAAAAUAAAAUUCUAAAAUUUUUGUAGAAAAAUAUUUCUUAUCAUCGUGCAAAAGUUGGUGCACAAAAACCUGCGAAAUUGAAAUACUACAUGUAAGAGAAUUACCUAGGGAGAUCGUAUAUCCCUGAAUUCCUACAAAUCUAUGGGAUUAUAUAAAGGAGUUUAAAUGCCCUCCUCUCUAGUGGUGAUCCACAUGACAGGGACUACAAAGACGCUAAUCAAAUCAUUGCCUAAAACUCUUCCUCGCAUGCACCACGUAAUCAAGAAGGGAUUGCCCCUUCUUGCUAUCCACACGCCCUAAAUAGGGGCUGUAAUAUGAGGAGGAGAGGGAGAGAGGAUAAUAGAAGAAGGUAUCCAAAAAGAACCUAGCCCAUGGCCCUUUGGUUCACUGCUAUUUAUAGAGGCCCUUUGUCAACUUAAUCCUAAUGGAUCCUAUCAUAUUGAGUAUUAGAUCUCCAUCCAACUACCCAAGCCUCUUAGAUUAGUGGGUCUCUAUCCAAUAACCUCUCAUUGGUAUUUUUUGGAUCUUAUCCAUAGGAUCCAAUAAUUCAGGGGCUUAUUGGAUAUCCAAUAAGAUAGGGGCUCCAAUGGUUAUCUUAUAUCCGAACAUCUAUUCAUCGCAAUACCUACAAUAUAUGUGUGACACUUUAGGCCCAAUAUUAGGUUGGCCAUGAGUCAUACCUGUCAGAAAUCAUUCCGACUCAGUGAAUUAUUAUCUCUAUAAUAAUUUACUUGACUCAUUGACUACGGACGUAUUAGGCCACUACGUCGUAGUCCCUAGAAGAUACAAAGGAAUCCAAUCCACUAGAUAUGUCUAUCCUCAACUAUCAUAUAUCUAUAGUUCCUUAUCUAUCUAAUAUCCUAGAGACCGUAUACCAAGCAUGGUGCUGUCAGGCCUAUACGAUUUCUACUCGAGUCUCGCUCUAAUCAGAUUCUCCCGGAGAACUCCUUCUCUCUCAAUUUGAAUAACCAUGGCCAGGGAUUUGUCUAAGUAAGAACACAAAGAAUAUUUCUCUCAUGACAUCGAGAGCAGAUGAUCGUCUAUCGAUACUCAAUAGCCCUCAUAAGGUUGGUUACCACUCCCGAUGACUAGUUGUGCUAGAUCUAGAACUUCCAAGCUAAGUCCAAUAUCAAAGAGUGGAGUACUUAUACGGGACAUCUUUGGUAUCUCAAGUCUAAGGUCUAGAAAUACCACUAGGACUACGAAAUCACUGUCUGAUAAUAAGGCAUCAUCAACCAUCUAGCAUUCUGUGAACGGAUCAAACAGUGAACUCGUUCUCCAAUGAGCACCUGCAUUGUAUCCCUAGUGUCCCUAUACGAGUAACUGUGAGACUAGCUAUCUCCAUUGUAUGGAUGAGUAUAUAGUAUACUAAUUUGUUCGGUUAUCUUGAUGUCCCUCUUGAGUAAUCUAUGAUUAGAAUUAUUUAGGGUAUAUGUUUAAAGGAGAAUCGGUCUCAUUAUCGUGAUCUCAUCAUGAUCCAAUUCCCAUUGCAUAGAUCCAUGGACAUCACAAUAUAUAUUUAUAUAACAAGUAAUAUAAAGUGAUAAAAUAUUAAAUAAUAUAAUAAGCAAAAAGAGUGCGUGUCAUGUCACACGUGCUAUCACUCAUGUGAUUGGCUUGCAGGGCACCUAUGACUAGCAAUCUCCCACUUGACCUAAAGUCAAUCACCUAUAUGUCUGAUCCCCAUCAAACCCUUAUGAUGCUCAAAGACAAUAAAAGACAAUGACUUUAUUAGUGGAUCUGUGAUGUUAUCUUCAGAUAAAACUCUUUCCACUACUAUAUUUCCUCGGGUCAUGAUCUCUCUAAUUAGGUGGAACCUCAUCAGAAUGUGCUUAGGCUUCUGAUGAGACCUAGGUUCCUUUGCUUGAGCAAUCGUCCUAUUGUUAUCGUAAUAUUAGGGAAUAGGCUCCUUGUUGCUCGGCACAACUCCUAGAUUUGUGAUGAACUUCAUCCAGACUCCCUCUUUUGUUGCCUUUGCUGAAGCAAUGUACUCCGCCUUUAUGGUCGAGUUAGCAAUAGUAUCCUGCUUGUAACUCUUCCAGCAUGCUGCUUAUCCAUUCAGGGUGUAUACAUACCCUGAAUUCGACUUGUCAUCUUCGAUAUCGGACUGGAAACUUGAGUCCGUGUAACCUUCAACCCUAAGGUUACUACCUCCAUAUACUAGUAAAAGAUCCUCAAUCCUUAUUAAGUACUUAAGGAUACACUUUACUGCUUUCUAGUACUCCAAGCUUUUAUCCGCCUGAUACUUGCUCGUUACACACAAAGCAUGCGCUAUAUCAGGCCUGGUACAUAGCAUGAUAUACAUGAUAGACCCUAUCACUGAGGCAUAGAGUAUCCUAUCCAUGUUCACUCUUUCUUUAGGAAUCUUUGGGGACAUACUCCUAGAAGGCGAUAUCCCAUGUCUCAUCGGUAUGAGACAUCUCUUAGAAUUUUUUAUGCCAAACCUUUUGACAAUGGUGUCUAUGUAUCUGGACUGGGACAAGUCAAGUAUUAUCUUGGAUCUAUCUCUAUAGAUCCGAAUCCCCAAGAUAUAGGAUGCUUCCCCCAAGUCCUUCAUGGAGAAGUGUUUAGAUAACCAAUCCUUUAUUGUGGAUAGCAUUCCUACUUCAUUCCUAAUGAUCAGGAUGUCAACCACAUAUAACACCAAGAAGGUGAUAGCACUCUUACUUACCUUCAUUUAUACACAAGGCUUAUCUUCAUUCUUAACGAAGUCAUAAGAUCUGAUCGUCUCAUCAAAUCUUAUGUUCCAACUUUGAAAAGCUUGUUUCAGUCCAUAAAUGGACCUAAGCAACCUACACACUUUAUCUGGGCUGUCCUUGGACAUGAAUCCCUCAGACUAUAUCAUAUACACCUCCUCCACGAGGUUGUCGUUGAGGAAUGCAAUUUUCACAUUCAUCUGCCAGAUCUCAUAAUCAUAGUGUGCUGCAAUAACCAAUAGAAUUCGGAUGGAUUUUAGCAUGGCUACGAGUGAGAAGGGUUCGUCAUAGUCAACACCUUGCCUUUGACGAUAUCCCUUAACUACUAGCCUUGCUUUAUAGGUCUCUACCUUUCUAUCUACUCCGAUAUUUUUCUUGAAGAUCCACUUAUAACUAAUGGGUAGAAUACCCUUGGGUGCAUUAACUAGGUUCCAAACUUUGUUAGAGUAUAUGAAAUCCAUCUCAGAAUUCUUGGCUUCUUACUACUUUCCGGAGUCUAUACUCAUAAUACCCUCCUCGUAGGUCUGAGGAUCAAUAUCCUCAACAUCCUUUCAUUUAAUAUGUCAUAUAUAUCUCUCGGGAUGAUAAGAUACUCUAUCAGACAUAUAUAUAGUUGAAACUUGUGUGUUAGGUACCUGAACAGACUUAGGCUAUGGAGUGGUGCUUGAACUAGAUUUUUCAACCUCGCUCAACUCUAUCAUGCUCCCACUAUCUCCACUAAGAAUGUGUUCCUUCUGAAGGAACACCAUUCUCUUGGCUAUAAAGACUUUUUGGUCCUUAGGGCGAUAGAAAUAAUAUCCAUAAGUUUCCUUGGGGUAUCCCACGAACUUGUACCGCUCCAUCCUAGAUUACAGCUUAUCGGGGUUAUAUCAUUUAACGUGGGCAGGGCAACCCCAAAUCUUAACAAUCUUAAGAUGAGGCUUCUUCCCUUUCCAUAUCUCAUAUGAUGUAGAUACUAUUGACUUAGUUGGAACUUUGUUCAGAAGGUAAGCUGCGGUCUCUAUGGCGUAUCCCCAAAAUGAGAUGGGUAGUUCGGCGAAGCUCAUCAUAGAUCGCACCAUAUAUAACAUUAUAUGAUUCAUCUUUUCAAAUACACUAUUGAGUUGAAGUGUAUAAGGAGGUAUCCAUUGGGAUAGAAUCCUAUGGUCUUUUGAGGAACUAGGUGAACUUUGUACUCAAGUACUCACCUCCUCGAUCUGAUCAAAGAGUCUUAAUACUCUUUUCAAUCUAAUUCUCUACUUCAUUCUUAUAUUUCUGAAUUUCUUAAGGCCUCGGACUUGUACUUCAUUAAGUAUAUAUGUCCGAGAGAUCAUCAGUAAAGGUAAUGAAGUAGGAGUAACCACCUAUGAUAUGAAUUGAUAUGGGAUUGCAUACAUCACUAUGUAUGAGUUCCAACAGCUCAAUGGCCAUCUCUCCAGUUCCACUAAAUGGAGAGUUGGUCAGUUUUCCAUAAAGAUAAGGCUCGCAAGUUGCAUAUGACUCAUAGUCGAAAGGAUCUAGAUAUACAUUAUUUAGCAACUUUUGAAUCCUUCCCUCAUGGAUGUGACCUAGCCUACAAUGCCAUAGGUAUGCAUUGUUCACCUCAUCUCGUUUCCUCUUGAACACAUUUACAUUCAUGAUAUGUGGAGUAGUGUCCAGUAUAAACAAACCAUUAUGCAAUGUUCCUCUCGUGAUGAUCUCAUCAUCUAAUAUUAUUGAACAAUAAUUUUUCUAAAAAACUAAUUUAUAUUCACUAACUAUCAAACAUGAAAUGAAAAUAAUAUUUUUAAUAAUAGAAGGAACAAAAUAACAUGUAUCCAAUGCAAUAAUAGCUCCACUAGGCAAAUGUAGGGUAACCUCACCAAUAGCUACUGUAGCAACUUUUGUUCCACUUUCCAUCUUGAGGUCCAUCUCGCCUCUCGCCAAUCUCCUAGGUCUUGUCAGAACCUACAACGAAUUACAGAUAUGAUAAGCACUACUGGUAUCCGAUACCCAUGUGUUAUCAAAAGAGUUUGACAAAUGGAGACUGAUCAUAAAUGUACCUGAAGCUUCUCCAAGCUUUUGUUUCACCCUCUCUGCAAGGUACUCUUUACAGUUCCUCUUCUAGUGCCCAUCUUUGCCACAGUGGAAGUACUGACCUUUGUUCUUUGUCGGUUCUUUCUUAGCAAUCUUUGCUUUACCUGGUUUGCCCUUACCCUUACCCUUCUUAAGGGACUUUUCUAUCUUUAUUUUAUUUUUGGUCUCACUAGUAUAAAGAACUGGCUUCUCUUUUUUGAUAGUGCUCUCUACCUCCCUCAAUAUAUUAAGGAGCUCAAGGAAAGUCACCUCAAGCUUGUUUAUAUUAAAAUUCAUUAUGAACCAUGAAAAGGAAUAUGGUAGGGACUGAAGCACAAGAUCCACACAUAGGAUCUUGUGCGAAAGAGGCUCUCUAUCCACUUAAUCAUCCUUCAGACAUGGUUCUAAAUCGAUGUCUCCUCAGUCAUCCUAGUGCGAAAGAGGCUCUUGGAUAUCUCAUAUCGCUGAGUCCUUCCCUGUUCCUCAAACAGUUUACAGAUAUGAGAACGAUUCUCAGGUUGCAGAGCCAAUCCGUGUAGUUUGGACCAAUGAGGCGGUUGACAUCAAGUAUGCCACAUAAGGGAUUUGAAAGCGAUAUUUUCUGAAAAUAACCAUAUAGUAGAAAUGAAUAACAUUCAAACUUUACAAAUGGUAAACAACUAAGAUAUGGUCUUCUAUCUUAUUAUGCUCCCACUAUUUUCUCACGAAACACAUAACUUCCUCCGAUAUGUGAAUCGGAGAUCUUCGACGGAUCUCUAGCGGGGAUCGGGAUCCAAUCGGCAUCUCAACAUAACCUCAAGGGACACAACUCCUUGUUACUCCCGUCUAUUGAAUCUUGGAUUUUGAUGAUGAAAUCGAUUAGUGAAUUAAUAAUCUCAUCCAUGUGUUGAGAUAAGUGAUGCAGGACUAACUACGAUCGUGAGAAAGGCAAAAUGAUUAAAUAAGAAUCAAAGUUGGGUCAAAGUCAAUGAUUGGGCAUCGGGCUAGAUGAAUCAGGGGAUACACCGAAGGAUCAAACGAUGCAGUGAAAGCUCGCCGGGAGUUCACCGAAAGCUCACCAAAAGUUCAUCGGGAGUUCGCCGAAAGCUCAUUGGAAGAUCAUCGGAAGUUCACCGAAAGCUCGUCAGAAGAUCACUAGGAGUUCGCCAGAAGUUCACCAAGAGUUCAAUUGAAUAAUUGAUAUGCCGAACAAUUUAGAUUCCUUGUAUCGUAAUUGUUUUAGCCUUAACUAUCAUAGUUAGAACUUUAAUUUGAGUUAGUUUGAGGAAAAAUCCUACUAACUCAAUUAGGGGCCAACUAUGCCCGAAACAAGGCUGAAUUGGGCUGGUUGGAUGACUCAUUCAACUACUUGGAGCCACGUCAAGUGAUGGUACCGUUGGCAGUUAAUGCUGCCAAGUAGUGGUACCGUCGGCAGUUAAUGCGGUCAGGUGGUGGUACCACCCUAUUAGGUGGUGGUACCAUUAGAGCCCAGUUUUCGAGGCUCUAUCAGGUAGUUGUACCACCCAGACUAGGUGGUAGUACCGCUAAUAACCUAGAAAUCCUGGAUAAGAUAAUUUUUGGCUCCAUUUUUGAAGCCAUUAGAGCCUAUAAAUACCCUACUCUUUCCUACAUGAAAGAGUACGAAAAGUGUGAACAAAAGUCUUAAGAUUUUGGUUGUAUAAGUAUUGAAAAAGUGCUAAGUGCCCACCUCCUUCUUUAGCUUUGUGAUCAAUCUAAGAGAUGUGUAGGGCUUGUAAAAGGUUGUCUCCUAAACCUAUAAAAAGGAAAAAGAGUUGUAAGAGGGUAGUUGGUCUUCGCCCAUUGAAGGAAGACCGUUAGUGGACGCCGGUGGCCUCAACGGAGGAGGAAUCGGGAGUGGAUGUAGAUCACGACGACCGAACCACUAUAAAUUUGGUGUGCACUAUUCUUUUGCUCUUCAGUACUAUUAUUCUCUGUUUUAAUUGCUCAUUAUAUUUACUUCAAGUGAAAUACACUUUCAAUAUCAUUUCCAAUAUGGGUUUCAUCGAAUCAAGUUUUUCAAAAUCAUUGAAGUUUUCUGAAUCGACGAAAUUUUUAUCAUAAGCACUAAUUCACCCCCCCUUCUUAGUGUUGAAUCUUGGAUUUUGAUGAUGAAAUUAAUUGGUAAAUUAUUUGAUCUAAUCUAUAUGUUGAGAUAAGUGUGUAGGAUUAACUACGAUAGCGGUAAGGCAUAAAGCAUAUGUUGGGACAGAGUCAAAGAUCGGACGAUACGUCGAAGAUUCGGAUGAUAUGCCGGAAGUUUGUCAGAACCUCGCUAAGAGUUCAUCGGGAGCUCACUGAGAGUUCAUCGGAAGUUUGUCGAGAGUUCAUCGGGAGUUCGUUGAGAGUUCGUCGGGUGUUCGCUGAGAGUUCGUCGGGAGUUCGCUGGAAGUUUGCCGAGAAGUUCGCUGGAAGUUCGUCGAGAGAACAAUUGACAUACCAGAUAGAUAUUGCUUGUUUAAAUAUCUUAAUUAUCAUAGUUAGACCAUAAGUUGAGUUAGGAUUGGGAGAUAAUCCCACUAACUUAGUUAGGGGCCAAUUGGGCCCUUAACAGGGCUGAAUUGGGUCGAUUGAAUUGCCCAUUCAGCACCUAAAGUCACAGCUAUAUUGAAUCUCAGAUUUUGAUAAUGAAACCAAUUGAUAGUGUUUAUAAAUUGAUCUGUGUUUUGAGUGAUAUAGGAAGCUUUGAUCAGGGAGAAAUAAUUAAAGCAGGAAGAAUUAUGUUGGGCCAGAGAAAACAUGUUAGAAGAUUAGAUGUCGCGUCGAAGGAUCGGUCGACGUAUCGACAGAAGGAUUUGGGCCAUGGGUUCAGGUAUCGGGCCAAGAAGAGCAGAUAUUGCACCAAGGAAAUCAGAAUUGGGGAGGUCAAUUGACUGAUUGGGCAAUAGGCCGUAAGAGAGGACAAUGAGCCGAAUAAUCAGAUGAAGCAUCAAUAAACCAAUGACAUACCAGACAACACUUGAUUAGCUUUAUAAUAAUUGUUUAGAUCGAAGUGGGUUUUGAAGUGUGCAGGAUUAACUAUGAUAGCAAGGCAUAAAACAAAAUGAAGUCCCGGAGUCAAGAACGAGAUUUCGUUAGGAGUUUGAGAGUUCGUCAGAAGUUCGGACAUUCAUCGGAAGUUCUGUCAGAAUUAGCUGAGAAGUCCAAGAGCUUGCCAAAGAAUCUUAUCGAAACUUACCAAGAAAAUCGUCAUGAAGUCCAGGAGCUUGCCGGAAGUCCGCUGGAACAUUACCGAGAGACAGUCGGAAGUUUGUCGGAAGAUCGUCGGAAGCACGCUGGAAGAAACCUAGACUUACAGACUUAUUUAGCUUAGUAAAUGUCUUAAUAUUCAUAGUUAGUACAUAAUUAGGUUGGAUUUGGGCCAACCCAAUUACAAGCCAGUUGGGCCCAUGUAUGGACUAUGUUGGGCCAAGUGAAAGGCACAAAUAGUGACCCAACAGGUGGCACCGUCGUGGCACAGUCUCUAAGACUAUGUCAGGCGGUGGUACCGUCAGACUGGGUAGUGGUACCACCCAGACAUAGUCUCUGAGAGACUGUCAGGUGGUGGUACCGCUAGAUUGGGCGGUAGUACCGCAUAAUGUCAGUGCUAUAGGCAGUGGUAGCGUCCAGCACAAGCGGUGGUACCGCCCAUACCCAAGAUACUUGGGAUGAGACAUUUUUAGGCUCCAAGUUUGAAUCAACUUGGGGCCUAUAAAUACCCCUCUCAUCCCUGGUUAAUAUGCACAAGAAUAGAGAGUGAAAAAGAAAGAAAACGCUGUUGUAAUCUUGUGUGAACUCCUCUAAAAGCUCUAAGUAUUAGUAUAGUUUUAGAGAAGAGUGAAAGGGGUGUAAAGGUUGUCUCCUAAACCCAUGAAAAGGAGAAGAGGGUUGUAAAAGGGUAGUUGAUUUUUGCUCGUUGAAAGAAGAUCGUUAGUGGAUGCCGGUGGCCUCGACGGAAGAGGAAUCAGUAGAGUGGAUGUAGGUCACGAUGACCGAACCACUAUAAAUCGGUUUGUAUUCUUGUUCUGAUUUUAAUUCUUAUAUUGCAAACUAAUUUACUUACUUUAUUUGCUCAUUAUAUUCUUGCAAACACUUUAAAGUUAAUCACUUUCCGAGAUCGAUUUUCGACGAACGAAGAUUUUACAAAACUGAUGUUUUUAUCCGCUGCACUAAUUCACUCCCCCCCCCUCUUAGUGCUGACUCAUUCCUAAUAGUUGGUAUCAGAGCCUCAUUAUUUCUCAUUUGGUUUAAUAUCCAAGAGAAAUGACUCUUUUCGGCUUUCAAGAGGGCCACUCUCUCAUUCGUCCUCCUAUGUUCAUUGGAAUAAACUACACAUAUUGGAAAGCUCGAAUGAGAGGUUUCUUGCUUUCGUUGAAUCUCGAUUUAUGGAAUAUAGUCGAAUUUGGUUUUCAAAAGUAUUCUCUUCUAAUGAACGAUUAGAAUAAGUUGGAGAAGAAGACUUUCUCUUUAAAUGCAAAGGCUAUGAAUGUCUUAUUUUGCACCUUAGACAAAAAUGAAUUCAAUCGGAUAUCUACUUGCGAAACAACUUUCGAUAUUUAGCGCACUCUUGAAAUCACGCACGAAGGCACAAAUAGAGUUAAAUAGUCUAAAGUUAAUCUUUUAAAUAUAUGAUUUUGAACUAUUUUGAAUAAAGCUGAGCGAAACUAUUAUUGACAUGUACACCCAUUUUACGGAUGUCAUCAAUGGUUUAAAAGAACUUGGCAAAUAUUUUUCAAAUUUUGAACUUAUUAAUAAAGUUUUACGAUCACUUUCUAAAAAUUGGGAUUCGAAAAUAAUGGCAAUAUAAGAAUCAAAGAACUUGAACCAUUUUUCACUCGAAGAACUUUUUGGGUCUUUAAUGACAUAUGAAAUGAGCUUUAUGGCAUAUAUUGAACAUGAUGAACUUGAGAACAAUCUUCCAAAGAAUAGGAAGGAUUUGACACUUAGAACAAUUAAAAACCACUUGAGCAAAAGCUCAAGUGAUAGUGAACUUGAUCUCCUCACUAUGAAAUUUAAAAAGUUCAUGAAACAAGAAUUAAAGAAUAAAAAUAAACUUAAAAAAACGUAACUACUUGCUAUGAACACAAGAAGAGGGAAGCACUUUGGGAUGAAUCGAGCUCAUCCGAUGAUGAGGAGCAAACCGAUGAAAGCGAGGUGGCAAACUAUGCCUUAACGACUUUCGACGAUGAGGUAACCAAAACCCCUUUGCUUUAUUUCGAAAUUAUAUGAUGCAUUUCAUGAGUUAUUCUUAAAUUAGUUUAGAAAAAUUAUAUAUAAAUUAUUUUUUAAAAAUUGCAUGAUAAAAAUAACAAAUUUAGGAAUCAUGGAUAUCCUUCUAGUAAUUUUGAAAAUGAUCAUUAAAAUUACAUGCUUUAUGAUAAAGGAACAAGAUAUUAGACUUAAAUCGAAUGCUUAAGAUAAAUCCUAUGUAUGUUUUUAAGAAGCAUUAAUAUGUAUCUUAAUGAUUUCCGCAUUACUUUUCGAUUUCAUUUAAAAAUAUUUUAUAAUUAAUGAAAUCAUACUUGAUGAUUUAAUGAUACAUAAUGAUGAUUUGAAAUCAUGUUUAAUAGUUUUAUAUUUCAAAAUUAUGCAUGAUGAUUUUUGUUAUUCAUGGCUUAUUAAUCUUUGUCGCAAUGAAAGUUGCUUUUUCGGUUUUGAACAAGAUGGAUGGUUUUUAUAUGAAAAACUUGAGCAUAUUUAAAUGAAAUCAAUCGCAUAAAAUAAAACACAUAAAAAGGAAAAUGUAUUGUUAUUGGACUUAAAAUGAUAAAUCAAAUCUCUUAUUUAAAGAAGCCAUAUGUUUCAUGUGUCAUAUUUUUGGACAUGAUGAUGAAAUUUGUUUUUCGGUUUUAAACUUUGAUGCAUGUUUUUAUUUGGCAUAAAUGAAAAAGGCUUACUUCUAAAAUAAAUCACAUGAAUUGAAACAACAAAAAAGAGGAAUGCUUUCUCCUUAAAAUUUUUUUUCUACUUUAUUGAUUUUUUUCAAAAAAAACGAGAGAUUAACGAAUCUAUCUAUGUUUCUUUUCGAAUCUAUUGAAAACAAUUUUGAUGAUUUGAUGAUUUGAAUUUGAAUGAGCUUUAUCUUGAUUCUUCGAGAUUUAUAACAUGAAAUCUUUUAUGAAUCAAGAUCUCUUAUUUGAUAUCUUAUGUUUCUCUUUGCCAUUUACUAAAGAGGAAAAUAAUUCAAUUCAUGAUCUUGAUUUCUUGAUAUUUGAUACUUGAAAUCUUUCUAUGAAUUAAGAUCAUUUUCUCCUUGUUUCUUUUUGCUAUUCACUAAAAAAAGAGACUUAUCCUCGAUGUUUCUUUUUGUUAUCUACUAUCUAAAUGAAUCAUGAAUUUUCGGAAUUACAAUUUUUAUGAUUCAUAAUAAAUUGAGAGAUUUUAUAUGCAUGAAUUGAGAUCUUGUUCUCCUACAAGAUUAAAUGAAUUUUAUCUAUAUCAUGAUCUCCUAAGAAUUCUUUUCGUUAUUUAUUUAAAAGGAGAUUUAUUAAAAUGAAUCAUGGUUUCUCUUGAUUUCUCGGAAUUAUAACUUGAAAAUUCUUUUUAUAAAUCAAGAUAGUCUACUAUGAUUCUUUCUUUUCGCUAUUUGAGUUAUCCAAAACAAUCAUAAUAUGCCUUUUGAUAUUCACAAUUUGUCCUCAUGAUUUGUAUAUCGUAUCACCAAAUUUUUCUUGUUAUCCUUCAUGUGAUGAUAUGAAAUCAUGCAAUACUCAUGAUAUUAUGUUGAUACAUACAAAUGAGAAGUUAUGAUCUUGCAUGGUAGGAUGUAAUGUAAUUUAACAUUUUGAUACCAUCAUGAUUUAAAAUAUUUCUGAUUUGGAAUGAUGCAUGCAAUACUAUGAUUUUUUAUGAUGUGAAAGUCAACAAUUAUCAUUUUAUGAAAUGAUACCAUAUUGCAAUUAAGAAUGAUACUUUAUUUUUGUCAUGAUUUAGAAAUUGAUGUAAAGGGAAAAGAAUUACAAAAUUGUAUUCUUCCCUUCUUUUUGACAAUGACAAAGGAGGAGAAAAGUUGUUAGUUUGCAUAUCAUAAAGAGAAGCAAAAAACUUGCUUAUCUCAAAAGAUGUAAAACUUUGCCAACUUUCAUAUGUGUAAAAUUCACUAGCUUGCAUGAUGUAGAACUUGCUAUCUUGAACAUCACCAAGAAGUGCUAUCUUGCAUAUUUUAAGAAGCAAAAAAUGCAAACUUACAAAAUUUAUAAUCUUGCACAUCUUUAAAAUUAAUGAUGAUUUGAUGAUUAUGCAUGUUGUAAGAUGAUGAACAAAUUUGCUAGUUGUAUGUUAUAAAACUUGCAUGAUGAUAAAAUUAGAGAUUAUGCAAUGAUUUGAACUUAUAUGUCUAAACACUUGAUAGUUGAACUUCUCAUUUUUAUUAAUGACAAAGGGGGAGAAGUAUGAUGUUAUGCAUGAUUUUAUUAUGACAUGUUGCUUGGAUUUUUGAAUCCAAGAGUUCUAUCAAUAUGACAUAUUGAUAGAGGGAGUUAAAAGUUAACUCCGUCAUCAAUUGAUUGUCAUCAACAAAAAGGGAGAGAUUGUUGAAUCUCAUAUUUUGAUGAUGAAACCAAUUGAUAGUGUUUAUGAUUUGAUCUGUGUUUUGAGUGACACAGGAAGCUUUGAUCAGGGAGAUAUAAUUAAAGCAGGAAGAAUCAUGUUGGGCCAGAGAAAACAUGUCAGAAGAUUGGACGUCGCACCGAAGGAUCGGUCAACGCAUCGAUAGAAGGUUUCGGGCCAUGGGUUCAGGUAUCGGGCCAAUAAGAGUAGAUAUUGCGCCAAGAAAAUCAGAGAUGCGAAGGUCAACUGGCCGAUUGGGCAAUAGGCUACAAGAGAGGACGAUGCGCCGAAUAAUCGGAUGAAGCAUCGAUAAACCAAUGACAUGCCGGACAACACUUGAUUAGCUUUAUAAUAAUUUUCUAGAUCAAAGUGGGUUUUAAGUGUGCAGGAUUAACUGUGAUAGUAAGGCAUAAAGCAAAAUGAAGUCCCGGAGUCAAGAACGAGAUUUCGUUGGGAGUUCGAGUGUUUAUCGGAAGUCCGGACGUUCGUCGGAUGUUCUAUCGGAAUUGAUUGAGAAGUCCAGGAGCUUGCCAAAGAAUCUUGUUAGAACUCACUAAGAAGAUCAUCAUGAAGUCUAGGAGCUUGCCGGGAGUCCGCUGGAACAUUGCCGAGAGAUCGUCGGAAGUUCGCCGGAAGAUCGUUGGAAGCUCGCUAGAAGAAACCUAGACUUACAGACUUAUUUAGCUUAGUAAAUGUCUUAAUAUUCGUAGUUAGCACAUAAUUGGGUUGGAUUUGGGCCAACCAAAUUAUGGGCCAGUUGGGCCCAUGUAUGGACUAUGUUGGUCCAAGUGAAAGGCCCAAACAAUGAACCAACAGGUGGCACUAUCAUGGCACUAUCUCCGAGACUGUGUCAGGCGGUGGUAUAGUCAAACUAGGCGGUCCUACCGCCCAGUGUCAGUGUCAGGCAGUGGUACCGCCAGUCUAGGUAGUAGUACUACCUAGACAUAGUCUCUGAGAGACUGACUGUCAAGCAAUGGUACCGCUAGACUAGGCGGUGGUACCGCCCAGUGUUAGUGCUGCAGGCGGUGGUACCGCCCAUACCCGGGAAACCCGGGAUGAGACAUUUUAGGCUCAAAGUUUGAAUCAACUUGGGGCCUAUAAAUACCCCUCUCAUCCCUGGUUAACAUACACAAGAAUAGAGAGUCAAAAAGAAAGAAAACACUACUGUAAUCUUGUGUGAACUCCUCUAAAAACUCUAAGUGUUAGUAUAGUUUUAGAGAGGAGUGAAUGGGGUGUAAAGAUUGUCUCCUAAACCUGUGAAUAGGAGAAGAGGGUUAUAAAAGGGUAGUCGAUCUUCGCCCAUUGAAAGAAGAUCAUUAGUAGAUGUCGGUGGCCUCGACGGAAGAGGAAUCAAUGGAGUGGAUGUAGGUCACGACGACCGAACCACUAUAAAUUGGUUUACAUUCUUGUUUUGCUUUUAAUUCUCAUAUUGUAAACCGAUUUACUUACUUUAUUUGCUCAUUACAUUCUUGUAAAUGCUUUAAAGUGAAACACUUUCCGAGAUCGGUUUUUGAUGAACGAAGAUUUUACAAAAUCGACGUUUUUAUCCGCUGUACUAAUUCACAACCCCCCCCCCCUCCCUCUCUUAGUGCUGACUCAUUCCUAAUAGGCCAAUGGUGGCACCGCCUAGGACUCAGUCUCCCAGGUGCUCUAGGCGAUGGUAUCGUUAGUAGUUAAUGCUAUUAGGCUGAGGUACUAUCCUGUCAAGUAGUGGUACCACUAGAGCUCGGUCUUCGAGCUCUGUCAAGCGGUGGUACCGCUCAAACUAUAUGGUGGUACCGCCCAAUGUUAGUCUGCUGGUACUAGUACGGCCCAAUAAUGGCGGUGGUAUCACCAGUACCUCGAAAUUCGGGGAUGUGACACUUUUUAGCUCCAAUUCUGAAGCCAUUGGGGCCUAUAAAUACCCUAUCUUUUUCUGAAUGAAAAUGCAUGAAAUUAUGAACAAAAUAUUGAAAUCUUGGGGUGUGAAAGUGUCGUAAAAGUGCAAAGAAUUCUCCUUCUCCUUUUCUAGUAUUGUGAUCAAUCAAAAGAAGUGUGAGGUUGGUAAGGGUUAUCUCCUAAACCCAUAAAAAGGAGAAAGCACUUUAAAGAGGUGGUUGGUCUUUGCCUAUUGAAGGAAGACCAUUAGUGGACGCCGGUGACCUCGACGGAGGAGGAAUCAGAAGUGGAUGUAGGUCACAAUGACCGAACUACUAUAAAUUCUAGUGUACUCAUUUCCAUUCUGCUUGUCAUUACCGUCAUUACUUUCUAAGUUAAUUGCUAGUUCAUUUACUCUAAAGUCAAGCACUUUCUGAGAUUGGUUUUCAACAAACGAAUAUUUUAUAAAACCGAUAAUUUUUUUCACUGUACUAAUUUACCGCCCCCGCCCCCUCUUAGUGCCGCUCUUGAUCCUAACAAUUGGUAUCAGAGCAAGGUCACUCUUCUAUAGAUCUCUAGGAGAGGGUGAAGGAAGUUAAGUGCUCUCCUCUCUAGCGGUGAUCCACAUAGCAGGGCUGCGACGACACUCCUGAAAACUCCAGGACUACUCUAAGGAGGAGAAGGGGAGGAGAAUAGGAGAGGCAAACCAAAAAGACUCUAGCCUAUGAACCACUGAUUUCCUCCUAUUUAUAGAGGUCUCCAAUCAACUUAACCUUAAUGGAUCCUGCCCUAUUGGGUAUUAGAUCUCCAUCCAACUACCCAAGCCUCUUAGAUUAGUGGAUCUCUAUCCAACAAUCUCUCAUGGGCUCUUAUUGGAUCUCAUCCAUAGGAUCCAAUAAUUCAGGGGCUUAUUGGAUAUCUAAUAAUAUAGGGGCUCCAACGGAUAUCUCAUAUCCGAACCUCUACCCAUCGUAUUCCUACCAUAUGUCUGUGACCCUCUAGGCUUAAUAUCGAGUUGGCCGUAAGUCAUACUUGUCAGAACUUUUUCUGACUCAAUGAAUUAUUUUCUUCAUAAUAAUUCACACUACUCAUCGACUAAGGACGUACUGGCCCACUAUGUCGUUGUCCCCAGACGAUACAGGGGAAUCCAAUCCAUUGGACUUGUCUGUCCUCAUUUAUCAUGUAUACUAGGCAUGGUGCUGUCAGACCUAUACGGUUUCUACUUGAGUCUCGCGCUAAUCGGAUUCUCCCGGAGAACUCUUUCUCUCUCAAUCCGAAGGUUGGUUACCACUCCUAAUGACCGGUUUUGCUAGAUCUGGAACCUCCAGACCUAUAAGUCCAAUAUCAAAGAAUAAAGUACUAAUACAUAACAUCCUUAGUGUCUCAAGUCUAAGGACCAGAUACACCACUAGGACUACAGAAUCACUAUUUGACAAUAAGGCAUCAUCAUGUCACGACCCGGGUCUGAUGAGCUAACUGGCCAAUAACUCCAUUUUGGUCCUUGCAACCACGGACCAAAAUGCUUAAGCCGGAGGUAACGUAGUACACUCAUCAGGCCCUUAUAAGCUAAUUAUAUGCAUUCCCCACUUCCGAUGUGGGACUAAUAGGAUAUUACACUNNNNNNNNNNNNNNNNNNNNNNNNNNNNNNNNNNNNNNNNNNNNNNNNNNNNNNNNNNNNNNNNNNNNNNNNNNNNNNNNNNNNNNNNNNNNNNNNNNNNNNNNNNNNNNNNNNNNNNNNNNNNNNNNNNNNNNNNNNNNNNNNNNNNNNNNNNNNNNNNNNNNNNNNNNNNNNNNNNNNNNNNNNNNNNNNNNNNNNNNNNNNNNNNNNNNNNNNNNNNNNNNNNNNNNNNNNNNNNNNNNNNNNNNNNNNNNNNNNNNNNNNNNNNNNNNNNNNNNNNNNNNNNNNNNNNNNNNNNNNNNNNNNNNNNNNNNNNNNNNNNNNNNNNNNNNNNNNNNNNNNNNNNNNNNNNNNNNNNNNNNNNNNNNNNNNNNNNNNNNNNNNNNNNNNNNNNNNNNNNNNNNNNNNNNNNNNNNNNNNNNNNNNNNNNNNNNNNNNNNNNNNNNNNNNNNNNNNNNNNNNNNNNNNNNNNNNNNNNNNNNNNNNNNNNNNNNNNNNNNNNNNNNNNNNNNNNNNNNNNNNNNNNNNNNNNNNNNNNNNNNNNNNNNNNNNNNNNNNNNNNNNNNNNNNNNNNNNNNNNNNNNNNNNNNNNNNNNNNNNNNNNNNNNNNNNNNNNNNNNNNNNNNNNNGGGACUAAUAGGAUAUUACACAUCAACCAUCCAACAUUCUGUAAGCGGAUCAAUUAGUAAACUCACUCUCCAAUGAGCACUUAUACUAUAUCCCUAGUGUCCCCACACGAGCAGCUAUGAGACCAAUUACAUCCUUUAUAUGGAUGGGUAUACAGCACACUAGUCUAUCCAGAUAUCUCGAUGUCCCUCUCGAGUAACUUAUGAUCGAGAUUACUUAGGGUUUGUGUUUAAAGGUGAAACGGUCUCAUUAUCAUGAUCUCAUUACGAUCCGAUUCUCAUUUCACAGAUCCAAGGACAUUACAAUAUAUAUGCAUAUAUGCAAAAAAUAAUAUAAAGUGAUAAAUGCCAAAAUAUAAUAAGCAAAAAGACUACGUGUCAAGUCACACGUGCCAUCGCUCACGUGAUUGGCUUGCUGGGCACCUAUGACUAGCAAUCUCCCACUUGACCUAAAGCCAAUCACCUAUGUGUCUGAUCCCCAUCUGACCCCUAUGACGCUUAAAGAUAUUUUGAGACAAUGAUUUUAUCAAUGGAUCUGUAAUAUUAUCUUUGGAUGGAACUCUUUCCACUCCUACAUCUCCUCGGGUCCCGAUCUAUCUGAUUAUGUGGAAUCUCCUCAGAACACUUCUGAUGAGACCUAGGUUCCUUCGCUUGAGCAAUCGCCCCAUUGUUAUCACAAUAUAAUGAAAUCGGCUUCUCGCUACUUGGCACGACUCCUAGAUCUGUGAUGAACUUCUUCAUCUAGACUCCCUCCUUUGCUGCCUCUGUUGCAAUAAUGUACUAUGCUUCUGUGGUCGAGUCAGUAGUAGUAUCUUGCUUGGAACUCUUCUAGCAUACUGCUCCUCCAUUCAGGGUAUACACAUACCUUGAAUUUGACUUAUUAUAAUCGACAUCAAACUGAAAACUCGAGUCCAUGUAGUCUUCAACCUUGAGGCUACUACCUCCAUAUACCCAUAAAAGAUCCUUAGUGCUUCUCAAGUACUUAAGGAUACACUUUACUGCUUUCUAGUGCUCCAAGCCUAGAUCCGCCCGAUACCUGCUCGUGACACUCAGAGCAUGUGCUAUAUCAGGCCUGGUACAUAGCAUGACAUAUAUGAUAGGCCCUAUUAUUGAGGCAUAGGUAUCCUAUCCAUGUUCGCCCUUUCUUCAGGAGUCUUUGGGGGUAUACUCCUAGAAAGCGAUAUCCCAUGUCUUAUCGGUAUGAGACUUCUCUUGAAAUUUUUCAUGCUAAUCCUUUUGACAAUAGUGUCUAUGUACCUAGACUGAGACAAGCCAAGUAUCAUCUUGAAUCUAUCUCUAUAGAUCCGAAUCCCUAAGAUAUAGGAUGCUUCCCCUCAGUCCUUCAUGGAGAAGUGUCUAGAUAACCAAGCCUUUACUGUAGAUAGCAUUCCUACAUCAUUCCCAAUGAUCAGGAUGUCAUCCAUAUAUAAUACCAAGAAGGUGAUAGUGCUCCCACUUACCUUCCUAUGCACACAAGGUUCAUCUUCGUUCUUAACGAAGUCAUAAGAUCUGAUUGUCUCAUCAAAUCUUAUGUUCCAACUUCGGGAAGCUUGCUUUAGUCCAUAAUUGGACCUAAGCAACCUACACACCUUAUCUGGUUAGUCCUUGGACAUGAAUCCCUUGGGCUAUAUCAUAUACACCUCCUCCUCAAGGUUGCCAUUGAGGAAUACGAUUUUCACGUUCAUCUGCCAUAUCUUAUAAUCAUAGUGUGCUGCAAUAGCCAAUAGAAUUCGAAUGGAUUUAAGGAUGGCUAUGGGUGAGAAGGUUUCAUCAUAAUCAACACUAGCCUUUCUUUAUAAGUCUCUAUCUUUCCAUCUACUCCGAUCUUCUUCUUAAAGAUCCACUUGCAACCGAUGAGUACAAUACCCUCGAGUACAUCAAUUAGGUUCCAAACCUUGUUGGAGUACAUGAAAUCCAUCUCAGAAUUUAUGGCUUCUUGCCACUUCUCGGAGUCUAUACUCAUAAUAGCCUCCUCGUAGGUCUGAGGAUCAAUAUCCUCAACAUCCUCUCUGCUAAUAUGUCCCAUAUAUCUCUCAGGAGGAUGUGAUACUUUGUCGGACCUACAUAAAGUUGGAACUUAGGUGCUAGGUACCUGAACAGACCUGGGUUGUGGAGUGGUGCUUGAACUAAGUUCUCUAACCUCGCUCAACUCUAUCAUACUUCCACUGUCUCCGCCAAUAUUAUGUUCCUUCUCAAGGAACACCGCUCUCUUGGCUACAAAGACCUUUUGGUCCUCAGGAUGAUAGAAAUAAUACCCACAAGUUUCCUAGGGGUAUCCCACGAACUUGCACCGCUCCAUCCUCGAUUCCAACUUAUCGGGAUUGUAUCUUUUAACGUGAGUAGGGCAGCCCCAAAUCUUAACAACCUCAAGAUCGGGCUUCUUCCCUUUCUAUAUCUCAUAUGGUGUAGACACUAUUAGGAAUGAGUCGGCACUAGGGGGGGUAAAUUAGUACAGCGGUAAAAUCAUCGAUUUAAAAAUUCUUCAUACGAUAAAACUGAUAGGAAAGAUAUUAACUUGGAAUACAUUCAGAAGGGUGUGCAGCAAAAGUAAUGAGAAGGCAGUUUGCAGUUAAAGUAAAUUGCUCAAAAGAAAUGCAGACUAGAUUUUUAUAGUGGUUCGGUCGUCGUGACCUACAUCCACUCCACCGAUUCGUCUUCCUUCGAGGCCACCGACAUCCACCAUCGAUCUUCCUUCAAUGGACGAAGAUCAACCACUCUUAUAACUCAAUUCUUCUUUUGACAAGUUCAGGAGAUGACCUUUACAACCCCCACAACCUCCUCUCUUAAACUUCACUAGCACUUAGAGUUUGAGAGGAGUUCACACAAGAUUACAACAGCGUUUUCUUUCUUUUUCACACAAGAUUAACCAGGGAUGAGAGGGUUAUUUAUAGGCCUCAAGUUGAUUCAAACUUGGAGCCUAAAAAUGUCUCAUCCCGGGUUUCCCAGGUCCUGGUGGUACUACUACCUAACGAACUGACACUGGGGGGUACCACCGCCUGAUAGUCUCUCGGAGACUAUGUCUGGGCCGUACCACUACUCAGACUGGCGGUACAACCGCCUGACACAGUCAUGGAGGCUAUGCCACAUGUUGGUCAUUAUUUGAGCCUUUUCACUUGGCCCAACAUAACCCAAAUUUGGGCCUAGUUGGCCCCUAAUUGAGUUAGUCUAAUUACAUUCGAAACUAAGUUAAUUAGACUAUAAACUAACUCGAUCUAGACAUAAUCAAUUACAAGUGAAUCCUUUGUUGUCCGGCAUGUCAUUGGUUCUUCCGGUGCUUCGUCCGAUCCUUUGGCGCAUCAUCCUCUCCUUCAGCGCAUCAUUCUCUCCUUCAGCAUAUUGCCCAAUUAGCAUAUUGUCUUCUCGCAACAUCUGAUCUCCUUGGUGCAAUGUCCGAUCUUCUUGGCCCGAUGCCCAAAUUCAUGGACUGAAGCCUUUUGUCGACAUGUUGACCGAUCCUUCGGCUCGACGUCCAAUCUUCUGACAUGUUUGCUUCGGCCCAACAUCUGAUUCCUCCCACUUUAAUCGAUUUACCUCUUUUGAUUA